AAUUAAUUAGCUUAAGAAAGCAUAUGUUUUGAAAACAUAAAAAAGAUGUUAAACUCAUCUAUUA
rnacentral:tRNA from 1 species